AGCCCCGUAGUGUAGUGGUCAAUCAUGAGGGAUUCUGGAUCCUUCGACACAGGUUCGAAUCCUGUCGGGGCUA
rnacentral:tRNA from 1 species